rnacentral:rRNA from 1 species
UACAGAGAGUGCAAACGUUGUUCGGAAUUACUGGGCUUGAAGCGCACGUAGGCGGCGUUGUAAGUGUCGGGUGAAAUCCCAUGGCUCACCCGUGGAACUGCCCGGCAUACUGCGAUGCUAGAGUGUGGUAGGGGAGAGCGGAACUCCUGGUGGAGCGGUGAAAUGCGUAGAUAUCAGGAGGAACACCGGUGGCGAAGGCGGCUCUCUGGUCCACAACUGACGCUGAGGUGCGAAAGCUAGGGGAGCAAACGGG